rnacentral:rRNA from 1 species
CAGCAGCCACGGGAAUACGUAGGUGGCAAGCGCUGUCCGGAAUUAUUGGGCGUAAAGCGCGCGCAGGCGGAUCAGUCAGUCUGUCUUAAAAGUUCGGGGCCUAACCCCGUGAUGGGAUGGAAACUGCUGAUCUAGAGUAUCGGAGAGGAAAGUGGAAUUCCUAGUGUAGCGGUGAAAUGCGUAGAUAUUAGGAAGAACACCAGUGGCGAAGGCGACUUUCUGGACGAAAACUGACGCUGAGGCGCGAAAGCCAGGGGAGCGAACGGGAUUAGAUACCCCAGUAGUCCCUGUCUCUUAUACA